GCUGGAUUAAAAUCCCUCUGCAACAAGCAAUACAAGUCCUUUGAACUUGACUCACUGCUAACAGUUAGGAAGCACUAUUCAUAAAAUGAAACACCACCCGUAAGCAGAAGUCGGGUGGCUGUCCUGGCUCCUACAACCCCACCAGCCCAGGCUCAGCCUCCAUCUCAAGUGCUGAUUGAUGAACAGUGGUAAAGCUCACAGAAAGGAACGGAUUGAUCAGUGCGGAAUGGGGAGGGCACAAGUAGGAGCUCUCCUGACACCAGGUUCAUCUGAGGGCUGGCCUGAGCUUUAAUUAACCUGUUUAUGGCUUUGUCCCUUUAUCUUUUUCUUUUUCUCAUAGAAUCUUAGGAAACAAAAGUGCCACCAUGCCUGGUUUUAUGCACUGCUGGUGAUAGGAAAUAGGGCAGGUUGCCAGGUGACUGCUCUACCAAUGGAACUGUUUCUCCGGCUCUCAGGUAUCUUUGUGCCUUCAGCCUUGAAGGAGAAUGAGGUAGAUGGGGUAUUACUGGCUUGUUUGUUUUUGUCAAUAAAGGCAGCUGUGUGCCACCACUGCCCAGGGAUUACUGUUUUUUAAAUAGACCCACCUUACAAGGUGAUUGACAUGCCUAUCUGCAGAGGGGAGCAGGUGGCUCAAAGUGAAGGAGACAGGUACAAAUUCAGGCAGAGCAGACAGACUUUCACCCUGCUUGUAGUUAUUCUGUGGGGCCAAAGUGAGGCUUUUGUUCUUAUUGUUUUUAGCAAAAGUAAUUUCUUAAUGUGUGUUUUAUCGUAAUCUACUGUAAGCUUUAAUUUUUCAAAACCUACUUUUAAUGACAGUUCUCAAAUGCUUUAACCUUUCUUCUAGCCCACCACCUACCAGAGGUAGUGGAAAAGAAAGGACAUGGGGGAAGUGGACCUGUUUAGAAGUGGUUCUUUGAAGCAGCUCUCAUCUGUGUUAUCAGGAAAUCGGCAGUUUGGUUUACAGAUUCCAAGAUGCCUUCCAGGCUCGAACCCGGACAUGAGAGCCACAGGCCAGCCUCAACAAAUCAUCAGUCUUUAAUAUCUGUCAAUAUCAACAGACUCAAUUCCCCAAUAAGACAUAAGCUAACAGACUGGAUAUGCAAGCAGGAUCCAGCAUUUUGCUGCAUACAAGAAACACAUCUCAA
rnacentral:lncRNA from 1 species